rnacentral:rRNA from 1 species
ACGGAAGGCAGCAGUGGGGAAUAUUGCACAAUGGGGGAAACCCUGAUGCAGCGACGCCGCGUGAGUGAAGAAGUAUUUCGGUAUGUAAAGCUCUAUCAGCAAGGAAGAAAAUGACGGUACUUGACUAAGAAGCCCCGGCUAACUACGUGCCAGCAGCCGCGGUAAUACGUAGGGGGCAAGCGUUAUCCGGAUUUACUGGGUGUAAAGGGAGCGUAGGCGGCGCUGCAAGUCAGAUGUGAAACCCCGGGGCUUAACCCCGGGACUGCAUUUGAAACUGCGGUGCUAGAGUGCGGGAGAGGUAAGCGGAAUUCCUAGUGUAGCGGUGAAAUGCGUAGAUAUUAGGAAGAACACCAGUGGCGAAGGCGGCUUACUGGACCGUAACUGACACUGAGGUACGAAAGCGUGGGGAGCAAACAGGAUUAGAUACCCUGGUA